rnacentral:rRNA from 1 species
CCUACGGGAGGCAGCAGUGAGGAAUAUUGGUCAAUGGCCGUAAGGCUGAACCAGCCAAGUCGCGUGAAGGAAGAAGGAUCUAUGGUUUGUAAACUUCUUUUAUAGGGGAAUAAAGGUAUCCACGUGUGGAUAUUUGCAUGUACCCUAUGAAUAAGCAUCGGCUAACUCCGUGCCAGCAGCCGCGGUAAUACGGAGGAUGCGAGCGUUAUCCGGAUUUAUUGGGUUUAAAGGGUGCGUAGGUUGUUUUUUAAGUCAGCGGUGAAAGUUUGGGGCUCAACCAUAAAAUUGCCGUUGAAACUGGAAGACUUGAGUGUGUUUGAGGUAGGUAGAAUGCGUGGUGUAGCGGUGAAAUGCAUAGAGAUCACGCAGAACUCCGAUUGCGAAGGCAGCUUACUAGGCCAUAACUGACACUGAAGCACGAAAGCGUGGGGAGCAAACAGGAUUAGAUACCCCAGUAGUC